rnacentral:rRNA from 1 species
UACGUAGGGGGCGAGCGUUGUCCGGAUUCAUUGGGCGUAAAGAGCUCGUAGGCGGCUUGGCAAGUCGGGUGUGAAACCUCCAGGCUCAACCUGGAGACGCCACUCGAGACCGCUAUGGCUAGAGUCUGGUAGGGGAUCACGGAAUUCCUGGUGUAGCGGUGAAAUGCGCAGAUAUCAGGAGGAACACCGGUGGCGAAGGCGGUGAUCUGGGCCAGUACUGACGCUGAGGAGCGAAAGCGUGGGGAGCAAACAGG